rfam:Salmonella enterica subsp. arizonae serovar 62:z4,z23:--, complete genome.
UGAAAAUUCUCCUUCCAGGAGAGGGCCAACUGUUGCCUGAAGAAGGGUAA